rnacentral:rRNA from 1 species
UACGUAGGGGGCAAGCGUUUGUCCGGAUUUAUUGGGCGUAAAGAGCGUGUAGGCGGUUUGGUAGGUCCGUUGUGAAAACUCGAGGCUCAACCUCGAGACGCCGAUGGAAACCAUCAGACUAGAGUCCGGAAGAGGAGAGUGGAAUUCCUGGUGUAGCGGUGGAAUGCGCAGAUAUCAGGAGGAACACCAAUGGCGAAGGCAGAUCUCUGGGCCGUAACUGACGCUGAGGAGCGAAAGCAUGGGGAGCGAACAGG